rnacentral:lncRNA from 10 species
AGUGAACUUCUAGGUUCUGAGCUGACUCCUUGGAAACCCUAGACUCCAGGGACGCGCUUCUAGAACCUGCUCAGAUUGCUACUCAGUUAACAGCCUGGCCCAGGAGGAUUGCAACACCCAGCCUGGCUCCCAGGGCCGCACACAUACAGAGCUGAACUUGUAUCGCCGUGUAGAUGAAGACAAACACCUUUAGGAGAUGGCAGAGAAACAAAAUGGGAAACCCUCAGGUCUCCAAAUGACUACACCAAGCAGAAUUGCCCCACCAGCCUGCACCAUUCAUUUCUAGACUAUGAGCAAGAAGUACACUUCCAUCUUAUUUAAACAACCAUAUUUGGGGUUUUUGUUGUUGUUAUUGUUGUUGUUAUAGGAGCUUAGCUUUUACUCUAAGAAAUACAGCUACUCAACUCACUUCAUUAGGAUCUUAACUAUAAUAUCAAAACCUCCUAAGCACAGAAUAAAAAAUACAGUAGAGCAAUAUCAUUUAUGAUCAUAGAUGCAGAGCUUCCAAAUGAAAUACUAGCAUAUUCAAGGAAAGAUAUAUAUACCAUGACCUAGUUGUGUUUAAUUUCUGGAAUUCAAAAAUGGAAUGUUUGACAUAAGAAAAUCUAUUAGGCCGGGCGCGGUGGCUCACGCCUGUAAUCCCAGCACUUUGGGAGGCCGAGGCAGGCAGAUCACGAGGUCAGGAGAUCGAGAUCAUCCUGGCUAAUACGGUGAAACCCCGUUUCUACUAAAAAAUACAAAAAAAAAAUAUUAGCUGGGAGUGGUGGCGGGCGCCUGUAGUCCCAGCUACUUGGGAGGCUGAGGCAGGAGAAUGGCGUGAACCCGGGAGGCAGAGCUUACAGUGAGCUGAGAUCGUGCCACUGCACUCCAGCCUGGGUGACAGAGCGAGACUCUGUCUCAAAAAAAAAAAAAAAAAGAAAAAAGAAAACAGUUUGGCAGUUCCUCAAAAAGUUAAACAUAGGAUGUUUGAAAAUUUAAACGUAAUAUGACCUAGCAAUUCAACCCCAGGUAUACAACCAAGAGAAUUGAAAACAGGUGUUCAAACAAAAACUUGUACAGGAUUGCUCAUAGCAGCAUUAUUUAUAAUAGCCAAAAGGAAGAAACUACUCAAAUGUCCAUCAGCUGAUGAAUGGAUAAACAAAAUAUGGUGUAUUUCUACAAUGGACUAUUAUUCAAUCAUAAAAAAUGAAAUGCUGAUAAAUGCCAAAAUUGACGAACUUUUAAAACAUGCUAAGUGGCUGGGUGGGGUGGCUCUAGUCCGUAAUCCCGGCAUGUUAAGAGGCCGAGGUGGGCGGGUCACUUGAGCCUGGGAGGUCGAGGCUGCAGAGAGCUGAGAUCGCGCUACUGCACUCUAGCCUGGGUGACAGAGCAGACCCUGUCUCAGAAAGAAAAGAAAAAACAGAAAAGAGAAAGAAGACAGGAGAGGAGAGAAGGGGAGGGGAGGGGAGGGGAAUGGAGAGGGGGAGGGGAGGGGAGGGGAAGGGGGAGGGAAGGGGAGGGGAGGGGAACAUCCUGGCCGGGUGCAGUGGCUCACGCCUGUAAUCCUAGCACUUUGGGAGGCCAAGGUGGGCGGAUUGCCUGAGCUCAGGAGUUCGAGACCAGCCUGGGCAACACGGUGAAACCCCGUCUCUACUAAAAUACAAAAAAAUUAGUUGGGCGUGGCGAUGUAUACCUGUAGUCCCAGCUACUCAGGAUGCUGAGGCAGAAGAAUUGCUUGAACCCAGGAGGUUGAGGUUGCAGUGACGCGAGAUUGCACCACUGCACUCCAGCCUGGGUGACAGAGUGAGACUCUCUCCCAAAAAAAAAAAAAGAAAAGAAAAGAAAAGAACAUGCUAAGUGAAAGAAGCCAGAGAAAAAAAGGCAACACAUUGUAUUAUUCCAUUUAAUGAAAUAUCCAGGAUAAACAAAUCCAUAGAAAUGAAGAGCAGCUGAGGGGUUGCUGGGGCUAGGGACGGGGGGGAUAUCAGGAAUGACUGCUUCAUGGGUACAGAGUUUUCAGGUGAUGAAAUCUUCUAGAAUUAGAUAAUAGUGAUGGUUGCACAACAUUAUGAAAAUACCAAAAACCACUGAACUGUACACUUUAAAAUUGUUAAAAUGGUGAAUUUUAUAUUAUGUGACAAUUUUGUAAAAGAAUUCUAUAUCCAAUGAAAAUAUUCUUCAAGAAUGAGAGGGAAAUAAAGGCGUUCUCAAGUGAAAAAUCAAGAGAAUUUGUCAUUAGUAGACUUGUUGUAAAAUAAAUACUAAAGAAAGUUCUUCAAACGGAAGAAAGAGGAUACCUGAAAGAAAUUUAGAACAUCAAGAAUGAAGACAGAGAAACAAAAAUGGUAAAAAUCUGGUUAAAUAUAAUAGACUAUUUUUAUCUUAAAUUCUUUAUAAUAUGUAUAUGUUGGGGCUCAGAAAACAACACCUCAAAAGUAUGGCGCUUUGGUAUGCUGAACACUUUGAACUAAAAUAGAAAGGACUUAGAAGCUACCUCAGAAUAAGGCCUUUCUGGCCUCAUCUGUUUCUAUCGCCUAGAGACUUCUAGAGACUUCUGGAGUCUCUAUCCCCCUAGAGACUUCCCCUAGAAUUUCCUUAUCUGACUAAGGAAACUUCUUUCCAAAAGAAAUGCAAUUGUCUUAAGAUCCCCUUCCUAGGAAUCUCAUCAAAUAAUCAGAAAAGAUUAACCACCAGAGAAGAAUGGAGACUAAAGUCAGAUGACUCUUCAUCUAGUCCUCUGAGGCAGUGCCAAGAGAUAACCUGGGAGGCUUUAUCUACCAGGUUAAGUUUCACCCCUCACCUUCCGGUAACUUGCUGGCGUCGUUUAGUUUCCUAGGAGAAUCAUUUACAAGAUAAUGUCUGAGCCUCCUGGGCCCAUUCAUUUCCCCUAAAAAUCAUUAACAACCCCUGCAUUUUCCCCAUCUCCCUCUUCCCUAUGAAGCAGAUAUAUAAGCCUCAAUCAUCUGGCCCUUUGGGUCUCAUAUUUAAUAUUGUACCCAUGUUUUUGUAUGUUAAUAAAUUUAUAUGCCUUUUUCUCCUAUUAAUCUGUGUAUUGUCAGUCAUUUUAGCA